rnacentral:rRNA from 1 species
UACGAAGGGGGCGAGCGUUGUUCGGAAUUACUGGGCGUAAAGGGCGCGCAGGCGGCUCUGAAAGUCAGAUGUGAAAGCCCCGGGCUUAACCUGGGAAUUGCAUUUGAUACUCUGGAGCUUGAGUACGGGAGAGGAGAGUGGAAUUCCCAGUGUAGAGGUGAAAUUCGUAGAUAUUGGGAAGAACACCGGUGGCGAAGGCGGCUCACUGGCCCGAUACUGACGCUGAGGCACGAAAGCGUGGGGAGCAAACAGGG